AUUUCACAUUAAAAACUUGGUUAUUCUAAUUUCCAUAACACAAAUUACCAACAAAAUAAUUAAAAAAAUUUUUUUAAGUUCCUCUAGAGUGACAUUGUUUUCACUACCAUCUGUUUCUACUUAGUUAUGUGUUGUCCUCUACGUUCUUUUUUACAUUUCUUUUUGUUAUUAAAAAUGGGUAAGGGUUUUGCAAAUUAACUUUAUUCUCUCUAUAAAGCAGCCGCUCUUCAUAAGUGAAAAUAGAAAUUACAGGGUUUUUUGGCAACAUCUCAAGGUUCCAAGGCAUGCUAAGUUUAAGGUGUAUGCCCAGAACCAGACCCUGAAUGUCAUCUGGGGGAGGAGGGAGUGAGAGGUGUCCUAACCUGACGCCUUCAUGCAGGCUUCUAUACCAAAGUGCCGCAGCCUGGAUGGCUUGUGAACACUAAAAUUUAUUUCUGAGAUUUAUAGUCUGAGGUCAAGGUGUCAGCAGAGGCCCCUCUUCCGGUCGCAGACUGCCCACUCCUCGGUGUGAUCUCUUAAGGCAGAAAUAGGGCUUGUGAACUCUCUGGGGUCCCUUUUAUAAGGGCACUAAUUCCAUUUAUGAGGUCAUAAUCAUCAAGGUGAUUAUCAUCACAUUGUGGGUUAGGAUUUCAACAGAUGAAUUUUGGGGAAACACCUGAGUCUUAAAGAAUCAUGAAAGAUGGAAACUCAGGGCAGCGUGGUUUUGCUGACAGACCAAGGUUAACAUAGACCCCAGAGGAAUCUCUCCCAUCGGACCAGAGUCCCACAGAACAAUAUUUCAUUGCAAAAAUGUCAUCUUCUGGCAAGACCCAAGACAUUUUGUGUGCCCUUAAUAGGAAUUUAAGCUUGCUUUAGCCCACGUCAUUUGUAAUCGUCAGAACGACACGAACGUGGACAUAUUGAGAUGCAUGGCCCCACUGUGCAUGAAGUCUGAAGGUCGUCAGAAGAGAGGAGGAGUCGAGGACAUCAGGGACACUCCUGUACCUGAAGAGGAUUCUGAUAGAGCUCAAGCAUCAGCCCCUCCUGCCUGUCUCCUGCACGCCGUGGCUUGAUUACUCCACCGAUGACUCCUUACUUCCUAUCUUCAACCCAGGUCUCUCUUUGGAAUUCCAGACUUGUACAUCCAGAGGUCACCUUGUUGUGCCACAGACCCUUCCAUCUUAACAUAACCCAGCAAACCCGUGAUGUCCUCCAACUGCUCUUCCCCAUCUCAGUGGAUGGCACCAUCAUUCAUGCGAUUAGGCGUCUCCGACACGUACAUAAUUGUGGCGCUUUAUUCUUCAUUACUUCUCUAACUCUGUCAGCACGUCCGACUGAUUCUGCCUCCUCAAAUAGGUAUCACACUUACGGACUUCUCUCUUCCUCUGUGACCACCACGCUAGUCUAAGGUGUCAUCUCCUGCUCUCACUGUAGCAAUAGCUUCCCAACUAUCCUCUGUCUUUCCUGGGGCCUCCAGCAGUUUCUCCACACAGCAGCCAGAGGAAGAUUUUCAGAACACAAAUCUGGUAAGACCCCAUCCUGCUGGACUUUGAUUCUUAAGAUGAAAAAAGAAUGCUGCGUGGUCAGGGUAGUCCGGCCCAGGCUACUCCUCUUGGCCUCUUCUGUGACCCUCACUCUAUGCCCCAGGAGCUAGGCUGUGAAAGCAAUAUGCCUAGGGGCAUCCGGGUGGCUCAGUUGGUCAAGUGUCCACUUUGGCUCAGGUCAUGAUCUCACGGCUCAUGGGUUCCAUCCCGGCAAUGGGCUCUGCGGUCAGGACAGAGGCCACUUUGGAUCCCCCAUCCCCCCACUCUCUCUGCCCCCUCCCCUGCUAGCGCGCAAGCUCUCAGAAAUAAACAUAAAAAAAGAGAGAGAGAGCAAUAUGCCUAUUCUUCUACCCACAGCCUCUGCAUGUGCUGUUGUUCCCUCCUUAUGAAGUACUCACCAAUUUAUGGGGUUAACUUCUGUUUAUCACUUAGAUCUCAACUCACAUGUUAUGUCCUUAGGAAACUUCCCUGACCCCCCCCCCCCCCCCAAUCUGAGUCAAGUUUCUUUAAUAUCUGUUUGUAUCUUUUCCUCCUGGGACUUUUCUCAGAUAUAAUAAUAUGCUCUCUUGUUUAUUUGAUUAAAAUUGAUCUUCUCACCUCUCCAUCCCCUACAAAUAUAUUGUAAGAUCUAUGAGGACGUGAAUAAAUAAGUGAAUCUCAA